rnacentral:rRNA from 1 species
AUUGAACGCUGGCGGCAGGCCUAACACAUGCAAGUCGAACGAGUGGCGGACGGGUGAGUAAUGUCUGGGAAACUGCCUGAUGGAGGGGGAUAACUACUGGAAACGGUAGCUAAUACCGCAUACCAUCGGAUGUGCCCAAAUGGGAUUAGCUAGUUGGUGGGGUAAAGGCUCACCAAGGCGACGAUCUCUAGCUGGUCUGAGAGGAUGACCAGCCACACUGGAACUGAGACACGGCCCAGACUCCUACGGUAGGCAGCAGUGGGGAAUAUUGCACAAUGGGGGCAAGCCUGACGCAGCCAUGCCGCGUGGAUGAAGAAGGCCUUCGGGUUGUAAAGUCCUUUCAGCAGGGAGGCGUUACCCGCAGAAGAAGCACCGGCUAACUCCGUGCCAGCCGCCGCGGUAAUUC